UGGGGAAUAUUGCACAAUGGGGGAAACCCUGAUGCAGCGACGCCGCGUGAGCGAAGAAGGCUUUCGAGUCGAAAAGCUCUGUCCUAUGAGAAGAUAAUGACGGUAUCAUAGGAGGAAGCCCCGGCUAAAUACGUGCCAGCAGCCGCGGUAAUACGUAUGGGGCGAGCGUUGUCCGGAAUUAUUGGGCGUAAAGGGUACGUAGGCGGUCUAUUAAGUCAGGUGUGAAAGCGUGAGGCUUAACCUCAUUAAGCACUUGAAACUGAUAGACUUGAGUGAAGGAGAGGAAAGUGGAAUUCCUAGUGUAGCGGUGAAAUGCGUAGAUAUUAGGAGGAAUACCGGUGGCGAAGGCGACUUUCUGGACUUUUACUGACGCUCAGGUACGAAAGCGUGGGGAGCAAACAGG
rnacentral:rRNA from 1 species